UCGGGCGGGGCGCGCGGUCAGCUGACUCCCCCACCCCCGCGCUCCGCACUUCCUCCUCCCGGUCGGCGGGGAGGCCAGGUGGGCAUCCUCCCGCUCGCGCACACCCGGGCGGAGCGAACAACCGGGCGGCCAUGGAGCAGCGCGGGCUGGGGCUCCCGGCGCUGCUGGCGCUGCUGGCAGCGCUGGCCCCACGCUCCUUCGCCGCGCCGGGCCCGACCCUGUGGCCUAUGCCGCUCUCGGUGAAGCUGUCUCCGCGCCUGCUGGUCGUCUCCCGCGAGAACUUCUCCUUCUCCUACGACCCCUCGUCCACCGCCGGCCCCUCUUGCUCCCUCCUGCAAGAAGCGUUCCGGCGAUACCAUGACUAUAUUUUUGAUCUCAAAAAGUCACAGCUCGGCCCUCCUAAACGUAAUAGUGCAGUGGAGUUAAAGCAACUUCUCGUCUCAGUUGUCCUGGAAUCGGAGUGUGAUCUUUACCCCAAUAUCACUUCAGAUGAGUCCUAUACGUUAGCUGUGGCAGGACCAGUGGCUUUUCUCAAGGCCAACAGAGUUUGGGGAGUAUUACGAGGUUUAGAGACCUUUAGCCAAUUAAUUUAUCAAGAUUCUUAUGGGACUUUCACCAUCAAUGAGGCUAACAUUAUUGAUUCUCCACGGUUUCCACACAGAGGAAUUUUAAUUGAUACAGCUAGACACUUCCUGCCCAUUAAGAGUAUACUUAAAACUCUGGAUGCCAUGGCUUUUAAUAAGUUUAAUGUUCUCCACUGGCACAUUGUUGAUGACCAGUCUUUCCCUUACCAGAGCGUUGCUUUUCCUGAGUUAAGCAACAAAGGAAGCUAUUCUUUGUCUCACGUGUAUACACCAAAUGAUGUCCGUGCGGUGAUAGAAUAUGCCCGAUUACGAGGCAUUCGAGUCCUACCAGAAUUUGAUAGUCCUGGACAUACACAGUCUUGGGGAAAAGGUCAGAAAAACCUCCUGACUCCAUGUUACAAUGGACCUGAGCAGUCUGGGACCUUUGGACCUAUAAACCCUAUUCUGAAUUCAACUUACUGCUUCCUGGCUCAGUUUUUCAAAGAAGUUGGUACAGUGUUUCCAGAUCACUUCGUUCACUUGGGAGGAGAUGAAGUGGACUUUACAUGUUGGGAGUCCAACCCAGAAGUCCUAGAUUUCAUGAAGCGGAAGGGCUUUGGCAGAGAUUUUCAAAGACUGGAAUCUUUCUAUAUUCAAAAGCUUUUGUAUAUUGUUUCAACUAUAAACAAGGGAGCCAUAGUCUGGCAAGAGGUUUUUGAUGAUCAUGUUAAGCUUAAGCCAGGCACAAUUGUUCAAGUAUGGAAACAGGAAAUGUAUCCUGAAAAACAAGCUCAAGUCACAGCAGCUGGCUUCCCUAUGAUCCUUUCUGCUCCUUGGUACUUAGAUUGGAUUAGUUACGGACAAGAUUGGAGAAAGUUCUAUACCGUGGACCCUCUUGAUUUUGAUGGUUCUCAAGAACAGAAAGAACUGGUCAUUGGUGGAGAAGCUUGUCUGUGGGGAGAAUUUGUGGAUGCAACUAACCUCACUCCAAGAUUAUGGCCUCGGGCAAGUGCCAUUGGUGAGAGACUCUGGAGUCCAAAGAACAUCAAAGAUCUAGAAGAUGCCUACAACAGACUAACCGUUCACCGCUGCCGGAUGACCAGGUAAGAGCUUUUUAAAGCUAGGACACUAAGUCCAAGUGACCUUUAACAGUUUCCAAGUAAGUCACUGAUUUUUAUAGUAAAGGUGUAUAUAAAAAUGCACCAAAUUUUGAUAUAACUUUUAAAUCCACUUUGUUCUGUAGACGGGGAAUAGCUGCAGAACCUCUUUUUACUGGAUAUUGUGAAUACUGAGUACAAAACCAAAAAUGAGCUUAAAGAAGAAAACAGGAGGAGACAAAGCCCACAGCAAUCUGUUCCACACUCAACUUGAUUUUGAAAUCAUGGAAAUUGAGAUUUCAUAUUGUUUUUAAAUAAAGUAUCUUUUUGAAGACUGAA